rnacentral:misc_RNA from 1 species
AAACUAUAUAAUAUUUUCCUAAUCAUCCAGUAGGAAAAACCACACCAGUCUUCUUGAUGAAGUCAUGUCUCCAAGAAAAUGUCUAGGUUUAUAUAAAGAAAAGAAAUGGAAUGUAUCUAUUAAAGAUAAAGGUGUCUCCCACACUUCCAAUUCCUGAGUCCGCCUCUGAGCACAGAUACGGGAAUAGUCAGGCCCCAAGAAGAUACGGAACACCGGUGAAGAAAACAAACCAGAAGCACAAAUAAUUCUAAAACAUUAAAUGUUAUAGUUCAAUAAUUUUGUCUCCUACUUCUGCCUCUUAUAUAUCUUCUCCAAGAAUGACUUGAGAACUGCUUGCAUUGGUUUGCUUAAUUUGGUUUCUUCAUCUUCAAUGGUAUUUAUCAGCUCUUCAUACGUAUUCUCCUCAUAUUCCCGGUACACAUCCUCAAGUUUGAGAUCCUUAUAGAGCGCCUCAAUUUUAGCAACACAAGCUUUAUCAUCUAUUCCAUAGUUCUCAUCCAAUAUUUUCUUCUGCUCCUCGUUGCAGCGCUCUAGGGCUUUCACAACCAACCAAGAACACUUGAAAUCUUUAAUAUCUGUGCCAUUCUUACCCAACACCUGUGGAUCAGCAAAGCAGUCCAGGUAAUCAUCCUGAACUUGGAAAUAUAUUCCCAUUUUGAUGAGUAUGUCCUUGGCAUUAGCAUGAUUGUCAAGAUUCUCUCCGGCCAUAAGAAGUGCACAUGCCACUG